AAGGGAGACCUAAUUCCGGUAGGAGACGAAAAAAAAGUAGUCCCUACCAAGAAUCAAUCCCAAAAGGUCGAAGCGAGGCAAGAUUGGCUUUCAAACUAGGUUCUGGGUUCAAACAAGACCUGAAUCAGGAACAAGGGCUAUUAGCUCAGGUGGUUAGAGCGCACCCCUGGUAAGGGUGAGGUCCCUGGUUCGAGUCCAGGAUGGCCCACCUGCACAGGUGGCAAAAACAAAGAAGCGAGGAAUCAGCACCUUAUCUUACUCAUAUAGUAAGAGAGAAUGCUGGCUCUGAGUAAAGAGUCCAGAGGAACCUUGAAAACUGCAUAGAGCUAGGUGAAAAAGCCAAAAAAGAAGACCGCAA
rnacentral:tRNA from 1 species